AUUGAACGCUGGCGGCAUGCCUUACACAUGCAAGUCGAACGGUAACAGGUCUUCGGAUGCUGACGAGUGGCGAACGGGUGAGUAAUACAUCGGAACGUGCCUAGUAGUGGGGGAUAACUACUCGAAAGAGUGGCUAAUACCGCAUGAGAUCUACGGAUGAAAGCAGGGGAUCGCAAGACCUUGUGCUACUAGAGCGGCCGAUGGCAGAUUAGGUAGUUGGUGGGGUAAAAGCUUACCAAGCCGACGAUCUGUAGCUGGUCUGAGAGGACGAUCAGCAACACUGGGACUGAGACACGGCCCAGACUCCGACGGGAGGCAGCAGUGGGGAAUUUUGGACAAUGGGCGAAAGCCUGAUCCAGCAAUGCCGCGUGCAGGAUGAAGGCCUUCGGGUUGUAAACUGCUUUUGUACGGAACGAAAAGCCCCGGGUUAAUACCCUGGGGUCAUGACGGUACCGUAAGAAUAAGCACCGGCUAACUACGUGCCAGCCGCCGCGGUAA
rnacentral:rRNA from 1 species